CUUGAACUCACCGUAUAGUCUGUUUACAUGCAUAACUUUCUCCGACUUUCUAGGACGUGUUUUAUGCCACUUUUUCUGUCUCAUUUUGUCCACCACACUUUUAACCUUGUACAUGAGUGCACAAAGGCUAAACAUCUCCAUGAACGAGCUUUAUUAAAAUGUGUGACAGCCUCACUACAAUGCUUCAAGAAAAGGAGAAGGGACAGCAAAGAGGAGGAUGCAAGUUCUUCAGGCAGCUGACCUCCCCAACAUCUAGGCCGCUGUAGCCUUAGUCGUCAGCAUUCCAUCUUCCACUGGUCAAGCCCCACCUGGACCCACUCCAAUUCGCCUACCAGCCCCGACUGCAGUGGAGGACGCAGUCAUCUACCUGCUGAACCGAGCCCACACCCACCCAGACAAGCCUGCGAGCAGUGUGAGGAUCAUGUUUUUUGACUUCUCCAGUGCUUUCAAUACCAUACGG